AACUCUGGGCAGGCAGGUUGGAGUUUCUCCGGGGUUCACCCUCCUACCUGGCUGUCUCGCAAGGACAACGGUGGCAGGGAACCCUAAUGAAAACCGUGAUGGAGAGGACACUUUUAACCUGAGAGACAUGAAGGAGAUGCUUUUCACGUCUUACAAAUGGGCAUGCCAGGCUGCUGCUCAGGUGAUACGUCUCUUGAACCAGCUCUGAAGAUGUGAAAAUGAUCAGUGCAAGAUCCCUGAGAUGCUGAGAUACGAUGGGAUGGAGGAAAAUGGCGUUUCAUAGGCGGAGAAGCUCUUUGUCAAAUGUGAGGAGUGAAGUCAGACAGAAGCAUGAAAACAGCUUGACCUGACCCAGUCCAAGACUGUUUAUCAUGGGAUCUCAAUCCCUGGAGGAGGAUAACCAAAGGAUUCGAAAGAGGGCUCAGAGAGGUCGAGUUGUAAUUGCUGCAGAGAAGUUCUGAGUGGCAUUGAGGGACCUCCAAUUCCAGUCUGGUGUUCAUCCUGCAAGUGUUCCUGCUAUCAAACAGUGAGUGCAAAAGAUCUCCUGGCUCUUUGUUAGUGAAAGUAAGGGCAGCACCGUCCUUCCCAAACCAGAUGAUUAGUGUUGCUAACUGCCAUACCAACGGAGGCAAGCAGAUGAUAUAAAUGAAUGAAGCAGACAGUAUGUAAGAAAAGAGGUGAUGAGGGUUUGAUAAAAGAGGACAUGCCUCAUCCACAGGUGGAGGCAGCUGUUCAGCCCCAACCCCACUGUUGCUAUAUUUCCCACUUUUCUAUCUAGAUAUUCAUGUGAAAUCUCUUGAUUUGUAAAUGUCGGCAAUUAAGUAAACAUUUUUAUACAACACAUUGAAAAACAAGUCUCCAGGUUAAGUCUGCUCAAUGGUUGUUAGCAGUCUCCUCCCAAAGGCAACAUGGUGUUAUAUUUGCCUCUGGUGAGAGAACAGAGCAGUCUUAAAUCAAAGUUUGUGUCUUCUGAGGUGAGCCCAGCUAUUUCUCCAAUUCUUAGCUCUGUCUCAGUAGUUAUUAAUGCUUCAUAAGACAUUGCUGGAUCCUGACACGAGUCUUUCAAAUUUAAAGUGCAGAGUCAGUUACUACUUCAAGCUUUAUGGAGGCUGAGGAAUUGUCAUCAGUGCACUCCACAAUCCAUAGAGUUGGAUGGAACUUUAAACAUCAUUUAUUCCAGCUCCCCUGUUUUUACAGCUUCUCAUAACAUUCUCUAAAUAUUAGUAUUGGGGCUAACAGAACUUGGAUUAAUAAAUGGAGGCUGUGAAAUCCCAGUUCCUGGAUGCUCUCCUCAUAUGCCGCUUCCAAGGACUGUAAAAACAUUUCCAUAGAAAGAAGUAGCUGUGAUGCUAGUUUCAGCCUUUCUUCCAAACCCUGACCUAUAAUUACCCUGAGCUCUUUAACUUCAGAUCAUGUGCUAAUUUUAAAAUAUGUCCAUAAAUUCUGUGGUAUUCCUCCUUUCAGGAGGUAGAAACUAAUUUCCUUUAUCCUUGAGUAUGGGCUAUACUUAGUGACUUGCUUCUAAUGAAUAGAAUAUGAUAGAUGAUGGUGAGAAUAACUUAUUCUGAGAAUAAGUCAUAGCUUUUGGCUUGUUCCCAGCUCUCUUUAGUUACUUGCUCUUGAGGAAGCCACAAGUUAUGGGGACACUGAAGCAGCACUGGGGAGAUGCUCAUGAGUAGAACAACUGAGGCAUCCUGCAAACAGCCAUGGACAAACCUAUAUUGGGAGCAGAUUGUCUAG